rnacentral:rRNA from 1 species
AACGAACGCUGGCGGCAGGCUUAACACAUGCAAGUCGAGCGCCCCGCAAGGGGAGCGGCAGACGGGUGAGUAACGCGUGGGAAUCUACCCAUCUCUACGGAAUAACGCAUGGAAACGUGUGCUAAUACCGUAUACGUCCUUCGGGAGAAAGAUUUAUCGGAGAUGGAUGUGCCCGCGUUGGAUUAGCUAGUUGGUGGGGUAAAGGCCUGCCAAGGCGACGAUCCAUAGCUGGUCUGAGAGGAUGAUCAGCCACACUGGGACUGAGACACGGCCCAGACUCCUACGGGAGGCAGCAGUGGGGAAUAUUGGACAAUGGGCGCAAGCCUGAUCCAGCCAUGCCGCGUGAGUGAUGAAGGCCCUAGGGUUGUAAAGCUCUUUCACCGGUGAAGAUAUGACGGUAACCGGAGAAGAAGCCCCGGCUAACUUCGUGCCAGCAGCCGCAGUAAAAC